rnacentral:Y_RNA from 1 species
GGUUGGUCCGAGUGCGGUGGUGUUUACAACUAAAUUGAUCACAACCAGUUACAGAUUCCUUUGUUCCUUCUCCACUCCCACUGCUCCACUUGACCAACCUUUA